UGUAGUGAUAAUCAAGGUGGGCCAUUUCCAGCACAGAUAGGUUGUAUAUCCUUGAGGAUGCGUUGGAGAGGGUUUAGUUGGGGGCUGAAGGUGAUGGCUAUUUUGUUCUGCUAUUUUCUUUGUUGGGCCUGUCCUGUAGUAGGUGACUUCUGGGUACUCUUCUGGCUCUGUCAAUCUGUUUCUUCACUUCCGCAGG